CAGUGACAAUGUCUGCAUUCAUAUCAGUCAGGGUCAUCGUUCUCCUUCUCCAAACCUAAAACGACGUCAUUUAACGAGUAGGCUUUAGCCCUUAAUCUGCAAAUAAAUCGGUUAAAUUUCAGUCGACUCGCCACCAUCACCCCACGUGCAACUCACAAGCGGAAAAAACCUUCCGAUUCUCCUCUUCCCAUGGCUUCCGCCUUCGCAAACUCCCAUUCUCUCCUCCUCAGAUCCGAUUCUCUCGAUUCUCCACUCGCACAACCCAAGUUUCGUUUCUUCUCCUCUUCCAUUAAAGCAUCGUCAUCAGCUUCCUCCGCUUCCAAUUCCGGCGCCGACGUAUCUCUCACAAACUGCAACAUCGAACCAGUACUCUCAAAGCAUCGCCGCCCUGCCGAUGAGAACAUUCGCGACGAGGCUCGCCGCCACAACACCACUCAUUCUCACCGCUUUUCUGCCAAGUAUGUCCCCUUCAAUGCUGAUCCAUCAUCCGAUGAAUCGUACUCGCUGGAUGAGGUCAUUUAUCGCUCCCAAUCCGGGGGCCUCCUCGAUGUACAGCACGAUAUGGCUGCAUUGAAGAAUUAUGACGGCCAAUACUGGCGGAAUCUCUUCGAUUCUCGCAUCGGGAAGACCACAUGGCCGUACGGAUCGGGAGUCUGGUCGAAGAAAGAGUGGGUGCUGCCGGAGAUAGAUAGCGACGACAUUGUCAGUGCGUUUGAAGGUAACUCUAAUCUUUUCUGGGCCGAGCGUUUUGGCAAACAGUUUCUGGGCAUGAACGAUUUGUGGGUAAAACAUUGCGGGAUAAGCCACACGGGAAGUUUCAAGGAUUUGGGAAUGACGGUUUUGGUUAGUCAGGUGAAUAGACUGCGUAAGAUGCACAAGCCGGUCGUCGGAGUUGGUUGCGCUUCUACCGGGGACACAUCCGCCGCCUUAUCGGCUUAUUGCGCCGCCGCAGGGAUUCCGUCUAUUGUUUUCUUACCCGCCAAUCGGAUAUCUAUGGCGCAGUUGGUCCAGCCGAUUGCAAAUGGAGCUUUUGUUCUUAGUAUCGACACCGAUUUCGAUGGUUGCAUGCAGUUGAUUAGGGAAGUUACGGCCGAAUUACCCAUCUACUUGGCAAAUUCUUUGAACAGCUUAAGAUUGGAAGGGCAAAAAACUGCUGCCAUUGAGAUUUUGCAACAGUUCGAUUGGCAGGUUCCUGAUUGGGUUAUAGUUCCGGGAGGUAAUCUUGGAAACAUAUAUGCAUUUUACAAAGGGUUUCAUAUGUGUAAGGAACUGGGACUUGUAGAUAGGAUUCCAAGGCUUGUUUGUGCUCAAGCUGCAAAUGCAAAUCCACUCUACUUGAACUACAAAUCAGGCUGGGGUGAGUUUAAGGCUGUGAAAGCCAACACUACUUUUGCCUCGGCGAUACAAAUUGGUGAUCCAGUCUCCAUUGACAGAGCGGUUUAUGCACUGAAGAACUCGAACGGGAUCGUCGAGGAAGCAACUGAGGAGGAGUUGAUGGAUGCCAUGGCUCAAGCAGACUCGACUGGCAUGUUUAUUUGCCCUCAUACAGGGGUAGCUUUGUCAGCAUUGAUCAAGCUCGUGAAGAGUGGUGUCAUAGGGCCUACUGAUCGAACCGUGGUCGUGAGCACGGCUCAUGGGUUGAAGUUCACGCAGGCUAAGAUUGAUUAUCAUUCAAAUGAGAUCAAGGAUAUGGCUUGCCGUUUCGCAAAUCCACCAGUGCAAGUAAAGGCAGAUUUUGGUUCGGUCAUGGAUGUUUUGAAGAAGUAUCUGUUGACUGCAUGCAGGAAGUAAAAGCUUCUCUUUUUGAACGUGGUCUAUUUUUUAAUGAUCCAGCAACGCAGAUAGACUACAUUGAAAGGUGAACAAAGUGGUCGUUUCAUCUUGAAUAUAUUCAAAACAGAAGAUGGCAAUUAUAUAUAUUCAGAUGGACUUUCAUCAUCGCUGUCACAGAGGUUAGCUUUUUCUUAAGAGCCAUGGACUGCAAUUUUCAGAUUCAAGAUCAGUAGCAAACUGGUUAAUUUUUGUCUGGUAGGAUAUAGCAAGUUACUAGUUCAGAUUCAAAACCAGUAACGUAGUUAGUUUUUGCUUAUUUGGAUAGCCAGUUCAAUUACAUACACUCAAACUCGACGAUUUAGUUAUGCUUAUAAAUGGUAUAUCAAGUUGAAUUUCUUUCA